rnacentral:lncRNA from 1 species
UAAUGUUAAGUAACUGAUGUAAUUAUUGGCAAACCACAACUUUUUUUUAUUAUUAUUUUAACCUGCUUUUUGUCAUUUUGUAAUUUCUGAUAUCUCAGUAAGCAUAUUAUAAACCUUUUUAAGAAGAUGAACACAUAAAUAUAUUAUAAAAAACAAAAAAAUCAAAUUCAUUAACAAAUUUUCCAUGUUUCGCACACAAAAUAUAAUAUAUUGAUAUCAAUAUUGACCUAACAUCAAUUGCAUUCAGAAAUCCAAGAAGGAAAUAAACUUACCAACAUCUUUGCACUUCCAAAAUCACAUACUUUUAGCUCUUGAGUUUGUGGAUUAACCUGCACUCAACAAUGUUGUUUACGUUUUAGUAUUUAAUACACCACCAACAAGGUUAAUUUAAAUGAGCGGCUUAAUAUCACUUGUUAGAUCUUACCAAUAAAUUUUGUGGCUUAAUAUCACGAUGGCACACACCGAU